AACGAACGCUGGCGGCAGGCUUAACACAUGCAAGUCGAACGCCCCGCAAGGGGAGUGGCAGACGGGUGAGUAACGCGUGGGAACAUACCCUUUCCUGCGGAAUAGCUCCGGGAAACUGGAAUUAAUACCGCAUACGCCCUACGGGGGAAAGAUUUAUCGGGGAAGGAUUGGCCCGCGUUGGAUUAGCUAGUUGGUGGGGUAAAGGCCUACCAAGGCGUCGAUCCAUAGCUGGUCUGAGAGGAUGAUCAGCCACAUUGGGACUGAGACACGGCCCAAACUCCUACGGGAGGCAGCAGUGGGGAAUAUUGGACAAUGGGCGCAAGCCUGAUCCAGCCAUGCCGCGUGAGUGAUGAAGGCCUUAGGGCUGUAAAGCUCUUUCACCGAUGAAGAUAAUGACGGUAGUCGGAGAAGAAGCCCCGGCUAACUUCGUG
rnacentral:rRNA from 1 species